AACUGAAACAUCUAAGUACCCCGAGGAAAAGAAAUCAACCGAGAUUCCGAAAGUAGCGGCGAGCGAAAUUGGACUAGCCCUUAAGCUUUACACGCGUUAGACGAACGGUCUGGAAAGUCCGACGAUACAGGGUGAUAGUCCCGUAGUUGACGACGUGUGUUCAGUGAAAUCGAGUAGGGCGGGACACGUGAUAUCCUGUCUGAAUAUGGGGGGACCAUCCUCCAAGGCUAAAUACUACUGACUGACCGAUAGUGAACCAGUACCGUGAGGGAAAGGCGAAAAGAACCCCUGUGAGGGGAGUGAAAUAGAACCUGAAACCGUGUACGUACAAGCAGUAGGAGCAGGCUUUGUCCUGUGACUGCGUACCUUUUGUAUAAUGGGUCAGCGACUUAUAUUCAGUGGCAAGGUUAACCAUCUAGGGGAGCCGUAGGGAAACCGAGUCUUAACUGGGCGUUCAGUCUCUGGAUAUAGACCCGAAACCAGGUGAUCUAGCCAUGGGCAGGUUGAAGGUUGAGUAACAUCAACUGGAGGACCGAACCGACUAAUGUUGAAAAAUUAGCGGAUGACUUGUGGCUAGGGGUGAAAGGCCAAUCAAACCUGGAGAUAGCUGGUUCUCCCCGAAAGCUAUUUAGGUAGCGCCUCGGACGAAUACUACUGGGGGUAGAGCACUGUUAAGGCUAGGGGGUCAUCCCGACUUACCAACCCUUUGCAAACUCCGAAUACCAGUAAGUACUAUCCGGGAGACACACGGCGGGUGCUAACGUCCGUCGUGGAGAGGGAAACAACCCAGACCGCCAGCUAAGGUCCCAAAUUACUACUAAGUGGGAAACGAUGUGGGAAGGCUCAGACAGCCAGGAUGUUGGCUUAGAAGCAGCCAUCAUUUAAAGAAAGCGUAAUAGCUCACUGGUCGAGUCGGCCUGCGCGGAAGAUGUAACGGGGCUAAGUAGUAAACCGAAGCUGCGGCAAUAUACUUUUGUAUAUUGGGUAGGGGAGCGUUCUGUAAGCGGUUGAAGGUGUGUGGUAACGCAUGCUGGACGUAUCAGAAGUGCGAAUGCUGACAUGAGUAACGAUAAAGGGGGUGAAAAACCUCCUCGCCGGAAGACCAAGGGUUCCUGUCCAACGUUAAUCGGGGCAGGGUAAGUCGACCCCUAAGGCGAGGCCGAAAGGCGUAGUCGAUGGGAAACGGGUUAAUAUUCCCGUACUUCUUACAAUUGCGAUGGGGGGACGGAGAAGGCUAGGUGGGCCUGGCGACGGUUGUCCAGGUUCAAGUGCGUAGGCUUAAGAGUUAGGUAAAUCCGGCUCUUUCUAAGGCUGAGACACGACGUCGAGCACCUACGGGUGUGAAGUCAUUGAUGCCAUGCUUCCAGGAAAAGCCUCUAAGCUUCAGAUUGUAAGGAAUCGUACCCCAAACCGACACAGGUGGUCGGGUAGAGAAUACCAAGGCGCUUGAGAGAACUCGGGUGAAGGAACUAGGCAAAAUGGUACCGUAACUUCGGGAGAAGGUACGCUCUUGAUGGUGAAGUCCCUUGCGGAUGGAGCUGACGAGAGUCGCAGAUACCAGGUGGCUGCAACUGUUUAUUAAAAACACAGCACUGUGCAAAAUCGUAAGAUGACGUAUACGGUGUGACGCCUGCCCGGUGCCGGAAGGUUAAUUGAUGGGGUUAGACUUCGGUCGAAGCUCUUGAUCGAAGCCCCGGUAAACGGCGGCCGUAACUAUAACGGUCCUAAGGUAGCGAAAUUCCUUGUCGGGUAAGUUCCGACCUGCACGAAUGGCGUAAUGAUGGCCACGCUGUCUCCACCCGAGACUCAGUGAAAUUGAAAUCGCUGUGAAGAUGCAGUGUACCCGCGGCUAGACGGAAAGACCCCGUGAACCUUUACUACAGCUUGGCACUGAACAUUGACCCUACAUGUGUAGGAUAGGUGGGAGGCUUUGAAGCACGUACGCCAGUAUGUGUGGAGCCGUCCUUGAAAUACCACCCUUGUAGUGUUGAUGUUCUAACGUCGACCCCUUAUCGGGGUUGCGGACAGUGCCUGGUGGGUAGUUUGACUGGGGCGGUCUCCUCCCAAAGAGUAACGGAGGAGCACGAAGGUGGGCUAAUCACGGUUGGACAUCGUGAGGUUAGUGCAAUGGCAUAAGCCCGCUUGACUGCGAGAAUGACAAUUCGAGCAGGUGCGAAAGCAGGUCAUAGUGAUCCGGUGGUUCUGAAUGGAAGGGCCAUCGCUCAACGGAUAAAAGGUACUCCGGGGAUAACAGGCUGAUACCGCCCAAGAGUUCAUAUCGACGGCGGUGUUUGGCACCUCGAUGUCGGCUCAUCACAUCCUGGGGCUGAAGUCGGUCCCAAGGGUAUGGCUGUUCGCCAUUUAAAGUGGUACGCGAGCUGGGUUUAGAACGUCGUGAGACAGUUCGGUCCCUAUCUGCCGUGGGCGUUGGAAGAUUGAAGGGGGCUGCUCCUAGUACGAGAGGACCGGAGUGGACGAACCUCUGGUGUUCGGGUUGUGUCGCCAGACGCAUUGCCCGGUAGCUAAGUUCGGAAUCGAUAACCGCUGAAAGCAUCUAAGCGGGAAGCGAGCCCUGAGAUGAGUCUUCCCUGAUACUUUAAGUAUCCUAAAGGGUUGUCGGAGACUACGACGUUGAUAGGUCAGGUGUGUAAGUGCUGUGAGGCAUUGAGCUAACUGAUACUAAUUGCCCGUGAGGCUUAACCAU
rnacentral:rRNA from 1 species